UACGUAGGGCGCAAGCGUUGUCCGGAAUUAUUGGGCGUAAAGAGCUCGUAGGCGGUUUGUCACGUCGGAUGUGAAAGCCCGGGGCUUAACCCCGGGUCUGCAUUCGAUACGGGCAGACUAGAGUGUGGUAGGGGAGAUCGGAAUUCCUGGUGUAGCGGUGAAAUGCGCAGAUAUCAGGAGGAACACCGGUGGCGAAGGCGGGUCUCUGGGCCGAUAUCGACGCUGAGGAGCGAAAGCGUGGGGAGCGAACAGG
rnacentral:rRNA from 1 species